rnacentral:rRNA from 1 species
AGAACGAACGCUGGCGGCAGGCCUCAAACAUGCAAGUCUAGGGGGGUGUAGCAAUACAUCACCGGCGGACGGGUGCGUAACGCGUGGGAAUAUACCUAUUGGUUCGGAACAACUGAGGGAAACUUCAGCUAAUACCGGAUGAGCCCUAACGGGGAAAGAUUUCUCGCCAAUAGAUUAGCCCGCGUCCGAUUAGCUAGUUGGUGGGGUAAAAGCCUACCAAGGCAACGAUCGGUAGCUGUUCUGAGAGGAAGAUCAGCCACACUGGGACUGAGACACGGCCCAGACUCCUACGGGAGGCAGCAGUUGGGAAUCUUGGACAUGGGGGAACCCUGAUCCAGCCAUGCCGCGUGAGUGAUGAAGGCCUUCGGGUUGUAAACUCUUUCGGACGGGGACGAUAAUGACGGUACCCGUAGAGAAGCUCCGGCUAACUUCGCGCCAGCAGCCGC